rnacentral:rRNA from 1 species
AUGGGCCCGCGGCCUAUCAGCUUGUUGGUGAGGUUACGGCUCACCAAGGCGACGACGGGUAGCCGGCCUGAGAGGGUGUCCGGCCACACUGGGACUGAGAUACGGCCCAGACUCCUACGGGAGGCAGCAGUGGGGAAUAUUGCACAAUGGGCGCAAGCCUGAUGCAGCGACGCCGCGUGAGGGAUGACGGCCUUCGGGUUGUAAACCUCUUUCGCCAGGGACGAAGCGCAAGUGACGGUACCUGGAGAAGAAGCACCGGCCAACUACGUGCCAGCAGCCGCGGUAAUACGUAGGGUGCGAGCGUUGUCCGGAAUUACUGGGCGUAAAGAGCUCGUAGGUGGUUUGUCGCGUUGUUCGUGAAAACUCACAGCUUAACUGUGGGCGUGCGGGCGAUACGGGCAGACUGGAGUACUGCAGGGGAGACUGGAAUUCCUGGUGUAGCGGUGGAAUGCGCAGAUAUCAGGAGGAACACCGGUGGCGAAGGCGGGUCUCUGGGCAGUAACUGACGCUGAGGAGCGAAAGCGUGGGGAGCGAACAGGAUUAGAUACCCUGGUAGUCCACGCCGUAAACGGUGGGUACUAGGUGUGGGUUUCCUUCCUUGGGAUCCGUGCCGUAGCUAACGCAUUAAGUACCCCGCCUGGGGAGUACGGCCGCAAGGCUAAAACUCAAAGGAAUUGACGGGGGCCCGCACAAGCGGCGGAGCAUGUGGAUUAAUUCGAUGCAACGCGAAGAACCUUACCUGGGUUUGACAUGCACAGGACGCCGGCAGAGAUGUCGGUUCCCUUGUGGCCUGUGUGCAGGUGGUGCAUGGCUGUCGUCAGCUCGUGUCGUGAGAUGUUGGGUUAAGUCCCGCAACGAGCGCAACCCUUGUCUCAUGUUGCCAGCACGUUAUGGUGGGGACUCGUGAGAGACUGCCGGGGUCAACUCGGAGGAAGGUGGGGAUGACGUCAAGUCAUCAUGCCCCUUAUGUCCAGGGCUUCACACAUGCUACAAUGGCCGGUACAAAGGGCUGCGAUGCCGUGAGGUGGAGCGAAUCCUUUCAAAGCCGGUCUCAGUUCGGAUCGGGGUCUGCAACUCGACCCCGUGAAGUCGGAGUCGCUAGUAAUCGCAGAUCAGCAACGCUGCGGUGAAUACGUUCCCGGGCCUUGUA